rnacentral:lncRNA from 1 species
UGUCGCGGGAGAUCUAGAAUGCUCCGAACGAACAAGAAUCAUCAGGAUGGGAGAUUGCGGGGGUACCAGAAGGAGACGGCGGAGAAGACUCCCGCAGCUGCCACCGUCUCAAGCAGGGUCAGCUUCUUCGCCUGCAUCGCCCGCUGAGAAUUGGGAAAGAUGGGAGUCGGGUCAGCCGCUAGCUGCGCGGUCCACAAAUUCAGUAAGGAGGUUGCAUAGAAGACCCGAGAUAGAAAGGCCGAGCGAGCUCACCUCCGUUUUGCUGUGCCACCGCGAGGUGUAGUUGGGGAAGACGAGGCGACCGAAGGCGGCGAUGGUUGGGGAAGGAGAGGGACGGAGGAUUGGAGGAAGGCUGCCACCUACCGGUGCCGGCACGAGACGACCUUCGCCGGCAAGGU